rnacentral:rRNA from 1 species
GAUGAACGCUGGCGGCGUGCUUAACACAUGCAAGUCGAACGGAAAGGCCUGGCUGCAGGGUACCUGGGGGGGGAAAGGGUGGGGAAACCGUGGGGGAUUCGGCCUGGAAUUUGGGAUUAGGCUGGGGAAAUGGGUUUAAUUACGAAUAAGGAAAAUGGUUGGGUGGGAUUGUGGAAAGCUUUUGCGGGAUGGGAUGAGCUCGCGGCCUAUCAGCUUGUUGGUGGGGUAAUGGCCUACCAAGGCGUCGACGGGUAGCCGGCCUGAGAGGGUGUACGGCCACAUUGGGGCUGAGAUACGGCCCAGACUCCUACGGGAGGCAGCAGUGGGGAAUAUUGCACAAUGGGCGCAAGCCUGAUGCAGCGACGCCGCGUGGGGGAUGACGGCCUUCGGGUUGUAAACUCCUUUCGCAACCGACGAAGCCUUUUGGUGACGGUAGGUUGAGAAGAAGCACCGGCUAACUACGUG